AUGCACUUUCUCUAGAUUAAGAUUGGACUUAAAGUUAUUUUUACAGAACAAAGUUAAAUUGCUACUCCUAUUUUAUUAAAUACUGUAUAAAAAAAAUGUUUAUUUCAAACAGCCUUUAUAUUAAAAUAUUUUAUACUAAUAUUCUCAAAUAAGUGAUAUAAAGACAUCCAAGUAUUACGGUUCAAUUUAUAAAUAUUGUAAAGUCGACCAGUCGCGGAAGAACGCGAUCGCGAGGAAGCGCGUCAACGGAAGUCGUAAAUUCCUGUUGCGAUUAUAGUAAUCGACGCCGCGAAUAGAUCGAUCCCCUUAUUUCUGUUGGGAUAAUAGGAGCGGUUGAGUUGGUAUAACACUGCGGUUAACAGAUAUUGUGUUAGCCUGUUCUGAUUUUUAAGCAAAUAAGGAAACCAUACAUUUUAAUAUACUUGGUUGUUUAUACAAUGCGGUAUGUAUCGCAAUUUUUCUUUUUACUGAUUUCCAUGCUAUAUACAAUAAAUUAUUUGCAAUUAAUGCUUUGAUUUUGUUUGAAUAUUUUUGCUUGAUCGUCGAUGGAAAAUAAUGCCAGGGAACGCGAAACUCAAGUAUACGGUACGAUCGCUCGCUUUUUUCUUAUAAAAAUUAUUAUAUCAAAGUAACAGGCACUCGAGAGUGCCAUAAUUUAGGCUUCUCUCGGCACUGCGUCCUAAGCCAAGGGCUCAG